GACGAACGCUGGCGGCGUGCUUAACACAUGCAAGUCGAGCGGUAAGGCCCUUUCGGGGGUACACGAGCGGCGAACGGGUGAGUAACACGUGGGUGACCUGCCUUUAGCUCUGGGAUAAGCCUGGGAAACUGGGUCUAAUACCGGAUACGACUCCGCGGUGCAUGCUGUGGGGUGGAAAGCCUUGUGCGGCUGGAGAUGGGCCCGCGGCCUAUCAGCUUGUUGGUGGGGUGAUGGCCUACCAAGGCGACGACGGGUAGCCGGCCUGAGAGGGCGACCGGCCACACUGGGACUGAGACACGGCCCAGACUCCUACGGGAGGCAGCAGU
rnacentral:rRNA from 1 species